UACGUAGGGGGCAAGCGUUGUCCGGAAUCAUUGGGCGUAAAGCGCGCGUAGGCGGCCAGAUAAGUCCGGUGUGAAAGUCACAGGCUCAACCUGUGAAUGCCGCUGGAAACUGUCUGGCUUGAGUCCGGAAGGGGCGAGUGGAAUUCCUGGUGCAGCGGUGAAAUGCGCAGAUAUCAGGAGGAACACCAAUGGCGAAGGCAGCUCGCUGGAACGGUACUGACGCUGAGGCGCGAAAGCGUGGGGAGCGAACAGG
rnacentral:rRNA from 1 species